GGGGAAUAUUGGACAAUGGGCGCAAGCCUGAUCCAGCCAUGCCGCGUGGAUGAUGAAGGCCCUAGGGUUGUAAAGUCCUUUCGACGGGGAAGAUAAUGACGGUACCCGUAGAAGAAGCCCCGGCUAACUCCGUGCAAGCAGCCGCGGUAAUACGGAGGGGGCUAGCGUUGUUCGGAAUUACUGGGCGUAAAGCGCACGUAGGCGGCUUUGUAAGUUAGAGGUGAAAGCCCGGGGCUCAACUCCGGAAUUGCCUUUAAGACUGCAUCGCUAGAAUUGUGGAGAGGUAAGUGGAAUUCCGAGUGUAGAGGUGAAAUUCGUAGAUAUUCGGAAGAACACCAGUGGCGAAGGCGACUUACUGGACACAUAUUGACGCUGAGGUGCGAAAGCGUGGGGAGCAAA
rnacentral:rRNA from 1 species